CAGCAGCCGCGGGAAUACGGAGGGUGCAAGCGUUAAUCGGAAUUACUGGGCGUAAAGCGUGCGCAGGCGGCUAUAUAAGACAGAUGUGAAAUCCCCGGGCUCAACCUGGGAACUGCAUUUGUGACUGUAUAGCUAGAGUACGGCAGAGGGGGAUGGAAUUCCGCGUGUAGCAGUGAAAUGCGUAGAUAUGCGGAGGAACACCGAUGGCGAAGGCAAUCCCCUGGGCCUGUACUGACGCUCAUGCACGAAAGCGUGGGGAGCAAACAGGAUUAGAUACCCCUGUAGUCCCUGUCUCUUAUAC
rnacentral:rRNA from 1 species